CAAGUCUGGCUGUCUAAGUUAAUUAUUAUGUUCAAUUCAUAUAUUACAUUGUUGUGCUGCAAAUCGUGUUUAAUGAUGAAGUGAAUGUUAUUAGUGAUUUUAGAAGCAAUUAAGUGUAUUUUAUAAAACCAGAUUUAUUGUUCAGAGAUGCAGGCUUAACAUAUGUAUCUACGUGACAUGUAUCUAUUGUAUGGUGUUAGUUAUAUUUAUGAAGCAUUUAUAUUAUAUAAGGGUCGUAUUAUUAUGUAGUAGAAGUAGUAAAUCUUUAUAUUCAUACUAAGCCAGUUUAAACCAACUAGUGUGAACACACCUCAUAAUGUGUGUAUGCUUAACGUGAGAUGUAUAGUGACUAGUUCAUACCCCACUAUACCAGCAGAGCAAAAAAAGUAGUAGUAAAGUUAAUCCUGAUACCAAUUCAAUAGUCUGUGCAUUGGGAGAAGUUUCUCUGGUCUUUAUCAGAGAUAACUGUGACAUGUUAUGACUAAUGACUUUUUGGUCAGCCGUAGUCCACCAACUGGAGAAAUGAGGGAAUAUCGUAGAAAAGAGAGAACUUUGGUUCAUAGUUCAAGAUUCAGGUCUUUGAUAAAUGAGUUGUUAUGCAUUUGUAGUCUCUCUCUCUCUCUCUCUCUCUCUCUCUUUCUCUCUUUCUCUUUCGCUCAUGUCUCUCUCUUUUCCUCCCUCUCAUUUCUGGUUUCCCUCUUUAACUGUUAAUACCAUAGUUGAAGAUUGAGUGUGGUUUUGUUAGAAUAUACUCCUUGUAUCUUUUAUUAUACUUUUGUCACUGAUAUCGAGAAGAGUUUUGUUAGAAUUGAGAAAGUAAUUUGGUAUUAUUUUAGAACAGGAUUUUAGGGUUACUGCGACUAUAGACAGGUCGGGAUAUGGGAGAAAGUUGGGUUAUUGUGUAAAAAGACACAAAACGACUUUUAACUGGUUCACCUUGGUCUAUAAUUACAUUUAGCCGUGUUUAGAUUAGAAGAUAAACAGUCAGAUGCCUAUACCAAUGUUGUUAUGAACUUAGAGUAGCUGUGUUCAUAUUCAUAUUUAAUCCGUAUUACUUGUAUUUAGUCUCAUUAUUGGAAUAUGUUAUUCCAUAUUUAUCUUUAUGUUAUUAAAGAUCAGUUCUGUACAUGAUGCUUCACAGUAAA